CGGAGAGAUGGCUGAGUGGUUGAAAGCCCCGGUCUUGAAAACCGGUAUAGUUUAUUAUCGAGGGUUCGAAUCCCUCUCUCUCCUU
rnacentral:tRNA from 1 species